AAAAUCUGUGGAUUUUAAAAAUUUAUAUUCAAAUCUGAAUCAGAUCAAAAAUUUGAAGUCUGAACCCGGAUCCGAAUCCGAAAAUCCGAACCGAAAUACUUUUUUCUUUUUUCAGUAUUUUAAAAUAUAUUAUAUUAAAUUUAAAUUUCUAAAAUACAAAUUCAAAUAUAAUAUCAAAUUUUAAUAUAUCGACCGUCCCUAGAGCAAGUGGCAAAGGACUUGGUGGUUGGUACCCAAGACUUAAGUUCGAAUCCUAGUUGAUUCACAUUUUCAGUUAAGUUUAUUUCUAAAUGAAAUAAACGAAGCGGGUAGCGUGCUACCUAUCUCUCAAAAAAAAAAAAAUCAAAUUUUAAUAUAUAUAUAUAAAAUGUAACAUAAAUUCGGAUUCGUAUCGAGUUCGGAUUCGGAUCGGGUACAGUCAAAAUCCAUAUCCGAAUUCAUAUCUAUCGGAUUUUUGUUUUUGAUAUUCAUAUCCGAAAUCAUAUUCGUUUAGUAUCGAAUAAAUCCGUUUUGUUUGGAUUCGGGUUCAAAUAAAAUUUCAGGUAUAUGUAUCCAUUGAGACAUCCCUAAACUGGACCUCUAGCCGUGUUUGGUUUGCCUAUUUUUCACUCUGGAAUCGGAAUCGAAAUGGAUGAAUCCAUUUUUUGUGUUUGGUAUACGGAAUUUCCAUUCCGAUUCCAAUUUUCGGUGAAUGGGAAUUCACGCGAUUACCCCUUUUCCCAAUCCGGCCUAGGAGCCUAGGCUAGAUUGGAAAUUAAAUCCGAAUGGAAUGGAUUUGUUCGGAUUAAAUUUAACUUUUUUAAGCUUUUUUUUAAUUUUAAAAAAAGUUUAAGUUUGAAAAUUAUAUUUAUAAAUAUAAAUUUAAUUUGAACUUAAAUUAAGAAUUAAAAUUUAAUCAAGCAUUUCGAAUCAAAUUUAUAAAUUUGAAUUUAAAAUUAAAUUUAAUUUAAAAUCUAAAGUUUUAUUCAAAUUUUAUUUAAAAUUUAAAUUAAAUUUAUAGAUUCAAAUUGAAAUUUAAAUUAUAAUUUUAAAUUUGAAUUUAUACAAAUCAAAAUUUAAUUUUAUAUUUUAAAUUAUCCAUUCAAUUUCAAAAUUUAUUUUUUAUAAAAAAAUAUUCAAAAUUUUGACAUCAUUUUAAAAUUUUGAACUAUAUUUUUAAUAUUUAAUUUUCAGUUUGAAUUUAAACUAAUAUAUUAUAAAAAUUAAAUUGAUAUAUUAAUUUGAUUACGUUUCUAAUAUUUAUCUGAAUCAAACACCGACAAUUGAAAUAAUCCAUUCCAAUUCUGAUUUAGAUUGCGAAUCAAACAAAAUAAUGUAAUGAAUCAUUUAGAUUCUGUUUAAAACUUAUUGUCAUUUCGAUUCUGAUACCGAUUCCGACUUCAAACUAAAUACACCCAGGUGUUGUGGUGUUUGUGGCUUUUUUUGAGCAAAUAGUAGCAUUAAUUUAACUGAUCGUUGCUAGUGCAAGUGGCAAAAGAUUUAGUGGUUGGUACCCGAGGUAUUGCAAAGGACUUGGUGGUUGGUACCCGAGGUCUUAAGUUCAAAUCCUAGUUGAUUCACAUUUCUAGCUAAGUUUAUGUUUAAAUAAAAUAAACAAAACGGUUAGCAUACUACCUAUCUAUCUCAAAAAAAAAAAAAAAAAA
rnacentral:lncRNA from 1 species